rnacentral:rRNA from 1 species
GUACACUCCUACGGGAGGCAGCAGUGAGGAAUAUUGGACAAUGGGUGGAAGCCUGAUCCAGCCAUCCCGCGUGCAGGAAGACGGCCCUAUGGGUUGUAAACUGCUUUUAUCUGGGGAUAAACCUACUUACGUGUAAGUAGCUGAAGGUACCAGAAGAAUAAGCACCGGCUAACUCCGUGCCAGCAGCCGCGGUAAUACGGAGGGUGCAAGCGUUAUCCGGAUUUAUUGGGUUUAAAGGGUCCGUAGGCGGACUGAUAAGUCAGUGGUGAAAUCCGACAGCUUAACUGUCGAACUGCCAUUGAUACUGUUAGUCUUGAGUAAGGUUGAAGUGGCUGGAAUAAGUAGUGUAGCGGUGAAAUGCAUAGAUAUUACUUAGAACACCAAUUGCGAAGGCAGGUCACUAAGUCUUAACUGACGCUGAUGGACGAAAGCGUGGGGAGCGAACAGGAUUAGAAACCCGUGUAGUCCCAU